rnacentral:rRNA from 1 species
UACGUAGGGGGCAAGCGUUGUCCGGAUUUAUUGGGCGUAAAGAGCGUGUAGGCGGCUUCACAGGUCCGCUGUGAAAACUCGAGGCUCAACCUCGAGAUGUCGGUGGAAACCGUGUGGCUAGAGUCCGGAAGAGGAGAGUGGAAUUCCUGGUGUAGCGGUGAAAUGCGCAGAUAUCAGGAAGAACACCCGUGGCUAAGGCGGCUCUCUAGUACGGUACUGACGCUGAGACGCGAAAGCGUGGGGAGCGAACAGG